UGGGUAGUGCAACGGUUAGCACGUGCUCCCAGAAAGAGUGAGAUGUGGGUUCGAAUUCCAGCCAGAUUAA